rnacentral:ribozyme from 1 species
UCCACAUAAUGAAAAAAAAAAAAAAAAAAAAAAAAA